UCAAUACUUCCUCCGUCCCAAAAUUCUUGUCUUAUAUUUGUCUAGAUACAGAUGUAUCUAACACUAAAACGUAACUAGAUACAUCCGUAUUUAGACAAAUCUAAGACAAGAAUUUUGGGACGGAUGGAGUAUGUU
rnacentral:pre_miRNA from 1 species